rnacentral:ncRNA from 1 species
AAUGUUCCCGAGGAUUGCGUUUGGGCCUUCCUUGCGCAGGUUAGGUGGAAGGAAAAGAAGGCCUCCUUCAGAGGGGGCCCGAGCCAUGUGUGCGAUAACACUAUGGAAGAGCUAGAAUUCUAGCCUUGUGUCAGGACCUGCGGUCUUAAGGAACAGUCUCAGGUAGACAGUUUCUAUGGGGCGUAG